UAAGAAGGGCGGGGAGGAGGGCCGGACGGUUACUUCCGAGGGUAGGGGUAAAAUCCUUUGAUUCCCCCGGGAAGACCACAGUGCGAAGGCGGUUCCGCCAGAACGCGCUCGACGGUGAGGGAUGAAAGCUGGGGGAGCGAACCCGGAUUAGAUACCCGGGUAGUCCCAGCUGUAAACGAUGCGAGCUAGGUGACACGACGCCUUUCGGGGCAUCGUGGUGCCGCAGGGAAAGCCGUUAAGCUCGCCGCCUGGGGAGUACGGACGCAAGUCUGAAACUUAAAGGAAUUGGCGGGGGAGCACCACAAGGGGUGAAGCCUGCGGUUCAAUUGGAGUCAACGCCGGGAACCUUACCGGGAGCGACAGCAGAUUGAAGGUCAAGCUGAAGACUUUACCAGACGAGCUGAGAGGAGGUGCAUGGCCGUCGCCAGCUCGUGCCGUGUGGCGUCCUGUUAAGUCAGGCAACGAGCGAGACCCCUACUUCUAAUUGCUAUCAGGGGCCGCAAGACCUUUGAGGCUAGUUAGAAGGACUGCCGCCGCUAAGGCGGAGGAAGGAAGGGGCCACGGCAGGUCAGUAUGCCCCGAAACUCCCGGGCCACACGCGGGCUGCAAUGGUAAGGACAAUGGGUCCCAACCUCGAAAGAGUGAGGCAAUCCCCAAACCUUACCCCAGUUGUGACUGAGGGCUGCAACCCGCCCUCACGAAUCUGGAAUCCCUAGUAACCGCGUGUCACCAUCGCGCGGUGAAUACGUCCCUGCUCCUUGCACACACCCCCGUC
rnacentral:rRNA from 1 species